ACGGACACAUCAUGUUGAAGUAACGGUUCUCGUACGAUCACUGAAGUUAAGCAACGUCGAGUCUGGUCAAUACUUAGAUGGGUGACAGUUUCGAAAUAUCCGGUGCUGUAAG